AGCUGAUGGGUCGGCAUUUCCGGUGAGAAGGGCCAACAGGGUGGAAUACGGGCUGUAGUCAACUUGACCCUGGCUGCUAGAGCCAAUGGACAGGAAGGCGAUGAAACAACUGCAGAAAAACAAAGAGAACAUGUUGCUUGCUGGUUGUAAGUUUAUGCAGUGGCUUAUCAACGUAGGCACACAUCCAGCUUCGUCCAGGGAGAAAGAUUUUGAGACCUGUGAAGGAACAUGCUACUAAGUGUUGUUUUCUCUUCCAUAUGGAAAUAAAGAUUUUUCCUACGUUUCCUUCGUUGUCACUUCAACGGGGAAAACAGCGUUUAAAAAAUCCUACAUGCAACAAAUGCAAAUCUAAAUGUAUCCGGGAUGGAUAUGGAGCAGAAAUCUGCUAGCGAUUUUGAAUCGGAAGCAAAUGAGAAGAUUUGAGAUCCGAUGAAGUGUGCAAUCUCGAAAAGAGAGACCCUUGGUGAACAUCAAUCUACCUUUUCAUAAUCUUGGUAACUUGUCGCAGAAAUUCGGUUGAUUGGUUCCAUAAGGGUGCCAAUUUUUUUUAAUGGAGAUCUUUCGAAUGACCUCUAUUUCAUCCACUGCUAGAGACAUGGCGGUAAUUUUUCCUGCCAAAAAAUAGUUGCAUCAAUCGAAAACUAGAAAACACCAAUACACAUGACAGUAAAAAUGAAACAGUACCGCCUUCCUCCUAUCGCAUUACUCUUUCGUUCAAGAGUUUUUGGAUAUUGGCCUUGCUGAAAGAGAAGUCAACGUCUGCUUUUAGGAUAAUCCAUCUUAUCACACAUAUGGAUAAACCCGCCAGAUAACAACCAGAAUAGCUGCCCGUUCUCCCUGUUUCAAUGAUUUCAACAACAAAAAAAACUGAAGCGUCUGAAUUCAAAUGAAGGAUAACAUAAAAGAAUAGGAUGAUUGUCGAACAGUUGGGGCUAGCUGCCCAAUUCCACCUUGAUCGUGUCCUGUAUAUCAUUAUGACCAGGAGUUUUUUAUGUUCUAAUCCAUCUCGGUCUUUCGGA